CCAACCCGCGGUGGAAGCGCGUAGACUCGGACUCAGAACCGGGCACACUCGCGGAGCCUGAAGUCUGCAGUAAUCAGAAGCCUGCAAUACCCAUGUGUCACUGAUCUGGAGACGACCCCCCGCGGGCAGCACUUCAUGACCCAGCGGCGCCCGGCCCAGUG
rnacentral:lncRNA from 1 species